UACGGAGGGUGCGAGCGUUGUCCGGAAUCAUUGGGCGUAAAGAGCGUGUAGGCGGUCCGGUAAGUCCGCUGUGAAAGUCGGGGGCUCAACCCUCGAAUGCCGGUGGAUACUGUCGGGCUAGAGUGCGGAAGAGGCGAGUGGAAUUCCUGGUGUAGCGGUGAAAUGCGUAGAGAUUGGGAAGAACACCGGUGGCGAAAGCGCUCUGCUGGGCCGCAACUGACACUAAUGGACGAAAGCUAGGGGAGCGAAUGGG
rnacentral:rRNA from 1 species